CACAAUACUCCACACAAUUUAAACAGAACAUUACAAACAUAAUAGAUAAUAACAACAUAUAAAUAAUAACAAUUAAUACAGGGCAACAAAAUGCUUUGGCGAUCCAUGGCUGUACUUAUGACUGUUUUGGAAAUCAAUUUUAAUUGCUACCCUUGCCUCCUUCAGAAAUAUGAAAAAAACAAUCAUACAAAAAUCUAUAUAGAUGUUUUACGUUUUUACUAUGAUUUAACCGUGAGUUAUUAACUGUCUGGACCAGUUACCAAGUUAUUGUCUGCUUGUUUUGUUUUACUGCUAUCAUAAAAAUAGAUCCCAAUUGCAAAUCUAAUCAUAAAGCUAAAGAACAGUAACUAACACAAUAUAUUAUAAUUUCCUUUUAUAAAUUAACAUUUUAGUUAUUGCUUAAUCAGACUUGGGCACCAAAUCCAUUUCAUUAAAGAAGAACAGGUUAAACCUUUACAUUUUAGGUUCUGUUUAUUCUUAAGCAUGGUGCCAAGGAGAGGCAUUAAGUACUUACAAUUGCCCAUAAAAAGGGUUGGAUUGAAUAUUGUAUUUCAUGUGGUAAAAGCCUUUCUGAAGAUUUGACAUGAGUUUACUAUACUGUAGAUUGCUGUAGUCAUCACAUCACAGUAAUAUUCCAUUUACUUAUUAUCAGAAAGCUGCUUAUUCCUUAGAAAGGUUGAGACAAUCCAGAGAUUACCCUUAUUAUCAUGUUGGUCCAUCACAGUGCACUCGAACAAGUAAGCAUUCAGGCAAGCAGCUUAAGGAAAUAAAUAAACAUACAGUAGCUUGUCCUUGGAAGGUGGAAGGAAACUGGAUCAUUGAGAAAUAAUGGGGAGAACAUAAAAAUACCAGGCAUGAAUUGAACCCUGGAGCCAGGAACUGCAAUCCAGUAGUAAUGUUAUGCUACCCUUCUUCCAAGUUAUAUUUCAAUACAGAAGUUAAGACUAUGCAAAAAUAGGAAAAUGGCACCAAUGAGGGCGGAUUCAGAAAUGGCUAUAGAACACAGAUCAACUGUUACACCAGUAUGGAAAAGAUGUGUGUAGAAUCAUAUAAAACCAUAUUUAAAGUGAUAUUACCAAUUUAGUAAUUAAAAACAUUUUGGGGAGUGAGUUUAAUAAGCUUUCUUGGUCAGUUAUACAAUUAAAGUUUAGAAAGCAGAUGAAUAUUUGGGUGAUUUCAAAUAUGGCUGACAACAUGCAAACUUUUAACAAUUGCAGCACACAGUAUUAUGAUACUCUACUGUAUACUGUAAAAUGAUGUUUUCAUUUUCAGUCACAUACUUUAUUAUGUAAAAGAUGCUUACAUGUAAUCACUAAAAACCUAAAAUAAAUGGAUUAGAGAUUACUGGCUAUGAGUGAUACCUAGUAGUUUUAGGGUGUUGCACAUCUGAAGCAAGUUUAAAUUUCCAUUGGGGAAAUACACUAACCUAUGUCUGUGACGUGAUUUUAUAAAGUUAUAAAUAACAAUUUACAGUAUUAGAGAGGUCAUUUGACACACUGAGACAUUUCAGGGGAAUAAAUAGCCCAAAAUGUAUGGAGAAACUACAUCCAGAAGAUUUCUUCUUUGACUGAACAACUAAACAGGCCCCUGAACACGGUUUGCACAAAUCAUGUUUCAUUACAUCUUACACAUCCGAAUUAAAUAUACGGUAGAUUAGUGAUGCUACCCUAGCUCUAUAUUCAAUAGGUCUUUUUGUCAUUGCCAGUGGAAGGCCUUUGCAAGAUACAAACAAAGGACAAGUACUGUGUACACCAGAAAGGAGAGCAUGGCAGUAUCUGUCACUUCCUUAUUCUGCAAGAAGGCACUUUGAAACAGCUUUCAGCCCAAUAAUGUAUAAAUUCAGGCUGUGUGUGAACUGCAAAACUCACAAUAAGAGACUCACCAGCAGAGACCUAGUUCAUGCUUCUGUGACAAACUUUUUGAAUGUAUCCAAAAGAGGCUUUUCAUUGUUAAGAGUACUUUAACUUCAGAUCCUAUAUUUUGCUAAAUUGAAUGACUAUAAACUAUUAGGUAUCAAAUCUCUUCACCGAUGAAAGAGGCUUUUCUCGGAUUUAUUCAGUACUUUAAAGACAUAAACUAAUGAAAUGUAAAAAAAAGAUGUUUGGACCAAAAUGAACCUUAGAGGGACAGAUUGAUUUCUGAUUAUGUACUAAAUCCUGAUUAACAUUCUAUUUAUGUUUCUCUCAUUUUCCCUUUAUAAAACCAAUGACCUUUACAGUAAACUUGACAAAUGAUAUACUUUCUCACCAAAUGCAGAACAACAAGCCAGCUUUUCUUAUCCUAAUAGAAUGUCCAAAGUCAAACAUUGCUUGUCAAAAGUAAAAGAAAAGGCUAUGCAAACCUCUGAAUGCGUUGCCUUCAAGUAUAAAACCCUAAAGAAAGUUUAACCUAAGUAUCGGCUUUUUAACGGUGGAAAAAGGCUUGAUCUAAUUGUCAGACUAUUACCAUUUAGCAAUGAAUGUCAAGUUAUGCAUUAUCACGGUAUGAGUAAGGAACUGGUAAAAGAAAAAUAAACAAAAGUAAAUAAAAAAAAAUAGCAUACUAUGAUAUGACAAAGCACAUUAUCACAGCAUAAUAUUAUCACAGCAAAGUAUUAUUGUCAUGCUGAAAAUCUGUUAUUCUAAUUGUUGGAAUUGGUUGUAGUAGAUAAAAGUCUUAUCAGGAAAUUCUCAUUUCAGGCUUUAGCUGUCGUUCUCAUUGGAUUAGAUUUAAAAUCAAGAUCCUGUUGUAAGCGACUCUGUACCUAAUGAAGAACUGUUUACUCCCCUGUCUCUCUAUAUAGUAUGUUCGUUAAGUUUCAGCUAAAUGGUGAAUUAACCUUCAUAUUAUUAGCGGCAUAGGGGUUAAUAUACAUGGUAGAGAAAUGUCACAUAAAGUUCAAUUGAGAACGAUGUAUGUUAUAGCUCAUAAUUCCAGUUUAUUCACUGUAGAAACCCACAUCAGAUGCUUCUGAACAGCUGACCUUUGAUUUCAGUGCACUACAAUUAUCUCUGCUUCAAGAAUUAAAGCUUGAGAAGGUUGUUUUGUUCAAUUCUUCCAGUAAAUAUUUAAACUGAUUCUGUGUGCUUAGGAGUGCCUUAAGAGUUUUUCAUACUUUCUGGCCAUUCUACAAUUAUAAUCUCUGACAGCAGUGUUACCACUUAGCAGUUAGAUAUUUCACAUCUCAGAAGCUAAUAAAGGCUGGUCAUGUUUAUUGCUGGGAUCUUAGACUUCUAAGAAAUACCAGGUUUUGGUUGUGUAAAUGGUGUAGGUGGACCACUAGCUGGUUCUCUUCAAACUCAAAGUCCUUAUAUGGUGGCAGUAAGAGGUCCUGACUCUUUAGUUUGUCUCUAAAGAUCCCAUGAUAGUUUGUGAGAGGAGGGGGCAUUAAUCUUGGAGUCCUGGCUAAAUUUCACUCCAGGUUUGCACAGCAUGACCUAACGAAAUUCUCUUUUUAAUCCAAUUGGUAAAAUUAUUUGGGAUGAAAAGCACUAUACAGUACAUUAAACAGUUUCAUUAAACUGGAAAUAAUCAGAUUUUUUCUCCAAUUGUUUUUGGAGAAAAACAACUCUCUCUGUGUGUAAGCAACAGGAUGUCCUGUACAAUGUGAACAUACUUUUCUCUUUCCUGAAAUUGAAAAUCUGGGGUUAGCCAUUAAGGCCUUCAUUUUUCAUUGAGUAGGACCUCCAAAACAUGAUACUUUCAUUUUAUUAAAAUGGUUUCAUAUUAGCUUUUCUUACUUUAAAAUAGCAAUGCAGCCAUAAAUAUUACUGCUGCGGUCAGUUUUGAUGGAGAAGUACUGCAGGUUUUCUAUGUGUCCCAAACAAACAAUUUUCUCAUUUUCAUUUUCUUUCAUUCUCCGAGAGUAAUUUAAGCUCUGAUUAAAGAAAUGAUUUGGUCCAUGAAGGAAAACAAAGAAUAAUCUAUAAAAUGAAAUUAUAAUGGUGAAGGAGAGUACAGGAAGUGGCAUACUGUAUUUAAUGAACAGUUAACAUGUGCAAAUUUUAUUAUUUUGUAUUCUCAGACAAAACUGAAACUGUUUGCCUUUUCCCAAAAAAAACUGGAUUUGGUAAUUUGGGAGUAUUAACAGUCUAAGCACCAAUCCAUUCUGUGUGUGUAUAAGGAUAGAAAAAAUAAAUAAGACAUUGUUUUCACUUUUGAGAGCCACUGCCUCUACUUUGCAGAAUUACCAGCUUUUAGUCUAAUCACGUCAGAUUUAAGAACUCGGUCCCUUUGGAUAACACAUUAAACCCAGGUUACGCCUUCCUCGUCAUUAAAAAUCCUGUAGCACUGUUUGCAAGAGUGGGAGUGUUCACCCCACCAUCCAGGCUAAAUUUCACUCUUCACUAGUGUAAUCUGUACUCCCCUAAAUCCAAAUAACUUCUCUAGUUGAUGAGAACAUUGUGAAUUGACCUGUCUGUAAUGGCUCCCACUUGUCAUCCAGGUGGGUUCUGCAUUUCAGUGCACCUCAUGUAUCACAUAAAUUAGAUUAGACAGGAUUAAUCUUAUACUUAUAUUUUUUGUGCAUCACCCAACAUAAAUCGUAAUUUGCUGUACAGUAUAUGACCAAUCUUCAUACAGCUCAUAAUGAUUUACAGGAUUCAGCAUAUAAUGUUUAGUUACUACAAUAAAAAGACAUAGAAGACAAAGACAAUAAUAUAAUUUUGUGAGCCUAUAGAACAAGCUAGGCACAAGUGCUCUGAAGAAGCAUAAAGCUAAAGCUGUUAAAUUACUUCUUGAGAUAUUACAUGUUUGCUUAAGACCGACACACCUGCUAUUUGGGGUGAUAAAUUUAUCUUUUUUCUAUACAGGGAAAAACAUUUUUCUUUUUGAAAUAUUUUUGUAUUGUAGAUGCCAUAAUUUGAAACCCACAGGCAACAGGACCCAGCAGAAACGGAAGAUAUAAGCAUUUGGCUUCAGUUUCUGAAGCUGUGUUUUGCAGAGGCUGGGCUUAGUGCAGAGCUGGUCUUAUAGACCAGUGGCUUAACAAUCUGCAGGUAUGAAGAGUAUGAAUCUCCAUAAUGUAGCGUUAAUGAGAGAGCUGCAACUUUCCUAUUGGUUUUAAAGAAGAGAUGUGGAAAGCAUCCUGCCCAUCCUCAGUCUCGGAGACUAAUUCACUCUGCCAACUGAGAUACAGAGAAUUCCGCCUUCUCUACAUCUUUUUAGUCAUCGAGUUCUCCAUGGCUUGCUUCGCCUUGACCAUGGCCACCAUGCUGAUUUACUGGCCAUCAGAGUCAGAUCCCAGUCGUCCUCAGACCAACCUCUCAGUGUUGCUGCAUAAACUCCAAGAAGCUCAGGUCGCAAGAAGAGUUUUUCAGCAAGCAGCGUGUCCCAAUGCCUCAACUCACACCUCUCAUUUUCACAGCCUUUUUCCUUCACCAAAAGAGACUCCAUUCUUAACAAAAAAGUGACAAAUUAAGUAAAGGCCUGAACCUAAUUGCUUCUAUACCCAAAUACAACAGAUUUGAGCAUUCUGUAUGUUAUUCAGCCAAAUAUGGAGUUUACUCUUUUACAGAGCACAAGGCUCUCGCAUAAGGGAAGAAAAGUUUCCUAUAAAUUCACAUGUAAGGGAAUCCCACGGCGUUUGUACAUAAAUACAGUGCAGUGGCACUAGAGGUUCUUUCUGUAAAAUUUAGCAUGUGUUCAGUGCAGACACAUGACGUUAAAAUUUAAAGGGUAAAUAAAUAUUCAACACCUUUUAAAUAUCUGUGGAUAAUGCAGAUAAUUCUGAAUAUUUAUUAAGGGAACACAUCAUAUGUUGUGGGGAACGUACAUUUGACAUUCCCCUUCAUGUAAGUUUCUAGUUUAGUUCCUGACAAAAAAGUGGAGAAAAAAAACAUGUAGUGAAGAUUGGUAUAAAGCUAAUAUUUACUUAAUUAAAGCAGAAGAAGUGUGAAAGAAGAGAUAAGAAUUGUAAUUAAAAUAAUAAAAGAAUUGCAUAAUUUAAAUGAUCACCAUGUGUAAAGCUGAAAUAAAAAGUGAAUGAGUUUAAUAUCCACAAAAGUCAGUCAGAAACAUCAAUUUUUGUAAAAGAAAUCAUUAAUGGAAUCACUAUCAAGAAUGAAACUGAAAAUGUCAGAAAUGGCCAAGCAUAUCUUACAGCUUUACAGCAAACCAAUGAAGUAUUAAUAUAAUUGCCUUAUUAUUUUUUCAGCAAUUACAAGCAAAAUUAGCUGGAUAAUUAUGUCAGUGACAUACAACUUAGUAUAUCUGUUGUUCAGUCAAUUCCAUCAGAAAGGAUGUGAUCAAAAGGCCUUUGGUCUAAGAUAAAUAAUUUAGUUUUAGCUUUUCAUUUGGAAGAGUAUUGAUCUCUGGUGGGUUAUAGAUACAUGCAUAAAGUAUCAACAAUAAAUGUCUUUCAGUAAAAGAAAAACCAAAAUCAAAAAGAAAACUCUACACAUAGGAACUGUUGACUGAUUUCUUUCAUUUGCUUGCACUUUAUAAAACAAACAAGCAGACAGGGGCUAAGGACAGAACACUUCAAUCAAGAUAAAUCACUGAAGUUACUAUCAUAGCACAGCCCAAAUGCUCAUUUUCCCCAAAGUAUUUUUCACUCUCCACAACAAUCUGCAUUUUCAUUGUGCUGUUUCUUUAAUGAUCAGUUGUUUAAAAUUCUGAAGGAGGCAAUUAAUAAGAUUAAUCAUGAAACUCAGCGGUGUAACCAAUUAGAAGGAAUUCAAGCUGGAAACUCACAAUCUACCUAAUGAAAACCCAAUUUUGUGUUUAAAAAACAGGAAAACAGGUUUCUGAAGAAACUGAUUUUCUAGCUUCAUCACCACAUGAGUCUGUAAUGAAAAACGUAUCCGGUAUUGUCCAGAAAGAGAAUCACAAAAGCUCUGCCUUGAUGCUGCUUAAAAGCUUUAAAAUGGGAAUUGCAAUCUUGGUUGUUGUUAAAUGUCAUCCAUUUUUGCACCUCUGUGAAUAAUAUUACUUAUCUUUUCCCAUUGAACAAAAUCACAAAUUUACCUGCACUUACAGUAGAUUCAGUCUACUAGUGCAGAUGCUUUCGUUUUACUCACAAUUCCUAUUUUAUAUGUAUUCUUAGGAGCAAUUUUAGCUCAUUAGAAUCCUACGCCUACCUUUGGGUGAGAUUGCUGUUUCCAUGACAACCACCAUGCAGCAAAUGCUAUAAGUGACCUACUUCUAAAAUACCUGAUUUGUGUUUUACUCGUCCCACUUUUUUUCUUAAUCAGCCACAGUAAAGCUAAUUCAUAAAAGUCUGUUCAAGAUUCUCUUUCGCAAUUUAACCAUAUCAAUAAACAUAUAAAUACCAUAUAAAUAACCAUAAUUUUAUAAAGAGUUAAUAAUAAUAAUA